rnacentral:rRNA from 1 species
AGCGAACGCUGGCGGCAUGCCUAACACAUGCAAGUCGAACGAGACCUUCGGGUCUAGUGGCGCACGGGUGCGUAACGCGUGGGAACCUGCCCUUAGGUUCGGAAUAACUCCCCGAAAGGGGUGCUAAUACCGGAUAAUGUCUUCGGACCAAAGAUUUAUCGCCUUUGGAUGGGCCCGCGUUGGAUUAGCUAGUUGGUAGGGUAAAAGCCUACCAAGGCGACGAUCCAUAGCUGGUCUGAGGGGAUGAUCAGCCACACUGGGACUGAGACACGGCCCAGACUCCUACGGGAGGCAGCAGUGGGGAAUAUUGGACAAUGGGCGAAAGCCUGAUCCAGCAAUGCCGCGUGAGUGAUGAAGGCCUUAGGGUUGUAAAGCUCUUUUACCCGGGAUGAUAAUGACAGUACCGGGAGAAUAAGCUCCGGCUAACUCCGUG